CAGCCAUUUAUGAAAGUGGUCUAUGAGGGGCCAAUUUCUUCAGGGUAUUUCUGAGAGAGCCAUUAAUGAUUAUCAAUAUUCAGAAGAUGUACUGAAACAGUCUGUGCCACUUCAAUAUAUAAAUCUUGUCUGUAAAACACAAAGUUAACUUUUUUAAUACUGAAAAAGAAGUGUGGCUGCUACAUAACAUUAAAUGUCUUGGAGUAGACUUAAGGUUACCCAAGCUCAGUUUCUCAGAUGAUAAUGUUGACAAGUUUGUUAAAAUUUUAGACAUUGGUCAUGUCAUACAGAUCCCAGGGGCAUCAGUUGUUUCUUGCACAGUCACUGGCCUGGUGUUUAUGAUUAUUGAUUUGCACAUGAGAGUUCCCCAUCUUUCUUGUAAACUUGUCUGGUUCAAUGAAAAUGAAAACCAUUUAAUUUUUCAGUUGUCAGAUGAUGGAGCUCCUGAAACAAAUGAGCUGACAAUGUCAAUUGGAAGUAUAGUGUGCUGGAACUUUGGUGAUCAGGUGUAAGUGUAAAAGAGAAAGAUCAAAUAAUGCAUGACCUCUGGAAGCAGCUCACUGAAGAGAUGAAAAUGUUUGAAGUUGAACGGAAGUUGCAUAAGCACACAGGAGACGCUUUUAGAGAUGAUGCAAUGCGAAAGUUGCAUAAGCAGGUGUAGGAUAGAUUACAAGUUUGUAACAGGAGACGCCGGAGAUGAUAAAAUUAGUUUUUGUGUGUGAGAGCAAACAUUAAGAGAGACGUUGUGAAAACAAGGAGGAGAAUAAAACAAGAUUUGUUAAGGACAAUUUUCGAGUACUUGAGUUAGAGUGUACCCCACAAGUUUGGUACAUUUGUGUUAAUGUCGCAACAUGGACAGUUGGAUAUGCCAUUCCCUAUCAUGCAAAUUUGCUGUUUACAAGGUAUAGGGUGGGUUAUGGCAUUGUCUCUUUGCAGGCUAAAGAGGCCAAACAUUCUGGAGUGAGGGAAGAUUUGACCUUAACUAACCAGUCAAAUUUCUGCAAUGCCACAGAGGGAAGAAGUGUAGCUAUCAAUCCAACUUUGGUGACAGUACCUGUUUUAAAGGAAGCUUUACAUAGUAGAGGAUUAAG